GAUGAACGCUGGCGGCGUGCCUAAUACAUGCAAGUCGAGCGAACAGAUGAGGAGCUUGCUCCUCUGACGUUAGCGGCGGACGGGUGAGUAACACGUGGAUAACCUACCUAUAAGACUGGGAUAACUUCGGGAAACCGGAGCUAAUACCGGAUAAUAUAUUGAACCGCAUGGUUCAAUAGUGAAAGACGGUUUUGCUGUCACUUAUAGAUGGAUCCGCGCCGCAUUAGCUAGUUGGUAAGGUAACGGCUUACCAAGGCAACGAUGCGUAGCCGACCUGAGAGGGUGAUCGGCCACACUGGAACUGAGACACGGUCCAGACUCCUACGGGAGGCAGCAGUAGGGAAUCUUCCGCAUUGGGCGAAAGCCUGACGGAGCAACGCCGCGUGAGUGAUGAAGGUCUUCGGAUCGUAAAACUCUGUUAUUAGGGGAGAACAAAUGUGUAAGUAACUAUGCACGUCUUGACGGUACCUAAUCAGAAAGCCACGGCUAACUACGU
rnacentral:rRNA from 1 species